UGUAUACAAAUAGUCCAGUCAUUCUAUUUAUAACCUAGAAAAAAUUGCAAAAGAAUUAAUUCCUUGUGCAUCGUACGUAGCAAUGCCUAAUUAAGACACAAUGUUAUUUUUAAGCCUCAUUUCAAUGGGGAAAGUGUAAAAAUCCAACAAUGAAAAUGGCGAAAAUAAUACAUUUUGAAGAUGUCCUGUAUAGUACACCAUUCAGGUGCUUUCUGUGUAUAUGACGUCAUUAAGUGACGUGAAAUCAUAUAAAAUGGCGGAUGCGUUGACUGGCCGGUGUGUUUUUUCAGUAACAAUUGGUGUGAUGUUAAGCAUUUACUAGGAAUAUCAAAGAAAAUUGACCUUACUGUACCAGUGAAAUAAGUUUGCAGGAGAAGUAUUUAACUUGAAGCUGGUUCGUUACGUGCAUGUAAACGUUUAAAGGUAAAAGACAUGUGAAUUUGAGAAAUGAAGGUGUGGGCUGAACUGUAGGAACUUAAAGCAGUGAAAUAUCAACCUGAUUGGUUCUAAUGAGGUGUUACAAUGUAUUGAUAAAGCAGUCAAUUCAUGUGUAGUAUUAUCUGAGGUCAGAUCAUAUUUCAAUUGAAUAAAAGACAUAGUGUGUAAAAUCAUGUAAAAUCUUUGGCAAGACAAGCAGAUCUAAAAGCGUUUGCCUUCUACAUUCAUGUUCAUGGGCACAACAUGAUGGAUGACCAAGAGAACAGCAGACGUUUGAGAUCAGAAGAGAACUUUAAUAUAAAAUCUGACUGCUUAUUCUGCACAAAUUAUGCUAAAUCAAACAAAAAGAAAAGGGGUGGUGAUGUGUGGGAUGUUAAAACUUUAGAUUUUCAAGAUACAAUUAUUCGGAAAUGUAAAGAGAGAAAUGACUUGUGGGGUAUUGCUGUGCUUGGGCGAAUAGAACACAUUAUUGAUCUGCCUGCUGCUGAUGCAGUUUAUCAUCAAAUAUGCAAUACAAACUUCAGGACUGGAAAAGACAUACCUAUGAAAUACCAAUCAAAUACAAGUAAACGCCCAAAACUUAGUGCAAAAAGUCCGGGGAGACCUAUCAAUAGAGAUCAACAAUUGGCAUUUGAUGAACUUGUGCGUUAUGUCGAAACAUCUGAAGGUAAAGUCAUUUCAGUGAGUGAUCUUGUCAAAAAAAUGACCGAACUUUGUGGUGACAAGUCUUAUACUGCAAAACAUAUGAAAAAUAAGCUUAUAGAACACUUUGGUUCUGAUAUUGUUAUUGGGAAUCU